UACGUAGGGUGCAAGCGUUGUCCGAAAUUAUUGGGCGUAAAGAGCUCGUAGGCGGUUUGUCGCGUCUGCUGUGAAAACUCAGGGCUUAACCCUGAGCCUGCAGUGGGUACGGGCAGACUAGAGUGUGGUAGGGGAGAUCGGAAUUCCUGGUGUAGCGGUGGAAUGCGCAGAUAUCAGGAGGAACACCGGUGGCGAAGGCGGAUCUCUGGGCCAUAACUGACGCUGAGGAGCGAAAGCAUGGGGAGCGAACAGG
rnacentral:rRNA from 1 species